UCUUGUGUGGUGCAACUGGUUAACAUGCUUGGCUAUUAACCAAAUGGUUGAAGGUUCAAGUCCAUCCAGAAGCA
rnacentral:tRNA from 1 species